AACAUUGAGGAGAUGUGGAGAUGGGGUUGUCCAGGCUGUAGUCUAAACAUUGAGGAGAUGUGGAGACGGGGUUGUCCAGGCUGUAGUCUAAACAUUGAGGAGAUGUGGAGACAGGGGGUUGUCCAGGCUGUAGUCUAAACAUUGAGGGGAUGUGGAGACGGGGGGUUGUCCAGGCUAGGAGAGAGGGUAGAGUUGUAGUCUUUAAACAUGGAGGAGCUAGGAGAUGGGGGGUUGUCCAGGCUAGGAGAGAGGGUAGAGCUGUAGUCUAAACAUUGAUGAGAUGUGGAGACAGGGGGUUGUCCAGGCUAGGAGAGAGGGUAGAGCUGUAGUCUUUAAACAUGGAGGAGAUGUGGAGACAGGGGGUUGUCCAGGCUAGGAGAGAGGGUAGAGUUGUAGUCUAAACAUUGAGGAGAUGUGGAGACGGGGGGUUGUCCAGGCUAGGAGAGAGGGUAGAGCUGUAGUCUAAACAUUGAGGAG